CAGUCGCCACGGUAAUACGGAGGAUCCAAGCGUUAUCCGGAAUCAUUGGGUUUAAAGGGUCCGUAGGCGGUUUAGUAAGUCAGUGGUGAAAGCCCAUCGCUCAACGGUGGAACGGCCAUUGAUACUGCUGAACUUGAAUUAUUAGGAAGUAACUAGAAUAUGUAGUGUAGCGGUGAAAUGCUUAGAGAUUACAUGGAAUACCAAUUGCGAAGGCAGGUUACUACUAAUUGAUUGACGCUGAUGGACGAAAGCGUGGGGAGCGAACAGGAUUAGAGACCCGUGUAGUCCCUGUCUCUUAUAU
rnacentral:rRNA from 1 species